AUACAUAAAAAAAAAAAAAAACAAAGGAGAGAGCGUUUAUAUUCCUCUUUUUGUUGCGCAUGUUAAUUAAUUGUCUGUAAUUUUAGUGUUAAUACAUCUUUUGAUUUGGAGUUUUGCAUCAUCUAUGCAUAUUUGGAUUUUCAGGUUUGUAAGAUCUCUUACAACAGAAUUAGUUUAUGUUUUCCAUCGUAGUUCUUCUUUGAGUACAAUAGGUCUAGGUGUGCUUCUUUUUAUGUUCCAAUUAGUGUCGUCUUGCAUGUGGAUAAGUUUCAUGACGAGACCUAGCCACGAAAGGUUAGUUUGGUUAAAGAGUAAAUAACAUCAAAUCUAUUAAAAAUAGAGGAAAAUCUGACAGUGUUGUUUAUCUAUAUGAAUUUGUAAAAAUGAAGGAAAAGAUAAGGAAGGAAACAUUCCUAUUAGAUGUUGGUUCUCACUUCUCUUACCUGUGUAUUGUAAUUCCUGUUGCAGCUUUUUCUGAAUUUGCUUUUGUGUGAGAGGAUUUGAGCAAAUUCUGCAUAAGUUGAUGAACCUAUUUUUUUCUUGGCGGAAGAAGGGAAAUAAUAGUUACCAAAAGACAAUUGUGUAAUUUGGACAAAGAUUUUAGUGGAGAUGAUAGAGUAAGUGAUCGCACUGCUCUCAUACUGGAUAAUUUCAACCAGCAAAUGGCAACCUGUGAAGCAUCUUUUCAGGCAAGUCCAAUUUUAAUAUCGGUAUUGCAUCUUGAGAUUUUUGCACUUUUGCAUAACCAAAGGUGAAUUUGUUCAGGUGUCAUUGGCACAAAUGGAAUACUAAUUACCACGGCUAACCUGUAUGUGGACUCCAUUUGAGUGUCAAGCUGGAGGACGGGUCAAGGGUAUGGGUGAAAAACAAAUUGAAGUAGACAAGAGAAUUUUACAUACUCAAUUUCAUUUCAUCAAAAAGCAUGCCCCAAAAGUAUUCGAAAUCAUCCUACAAAAUAAAGUCUGAAUAUGCAAUGCAGGUCAGUGCCGAGAUGGACUUCAAGGUGAGUGUUCAGCUAAUUGUAGGUAUGGAAGUAAAAAUCAUAGCUAGAAGACUUGUGUUUAAGGUCGAAAACGUAUUGAACGAAACUGCUACAACUCGCCAGGAAAUCCAACGUAGACUCCGGUGGACAGGAGUGAUUGAUGUCAUACUGAAGACUUUUGACUAUUAAAGAAGAAUUUGGAGACUUUGAUCAGUGUUGCUCAAGCUAAACAUAGCCAAUUACCGGCUUUUCAACCAGCUUCUGUAGUGAACGUGAGGAGAAGGAUUGCAACUGUUCCCAUUUCUGAAAAUGCUUUUUAGAAUUCUUAAAUUUCGUUCACUGCUUACCCCACAGAGAGGACAAAUAAAAUGGUUUGGUUUGGCAUCUCAGUGAAAGAAUUACCAAUGCUGUUGGUGUGUUCAUAUGUAGUCUUUGAAGUUGAUUUUGCCGGGGGAGGCUCUUUUAUGUUAGUUGUUCACUCGGUCGAAAAAAGAACAAAUGUAAAUGUAUAUGUAUACGUAUAUAUAUGUUGAUCGAAUUGAACCAUGGGUGUCUUGGAAUGAGAAAGAUAUGUCUAUAUGUGAAUCA